rnacentral:rRNA from 1 species
CAGCAGUGGGGAAUAUUGCACAAUGGGCGAAAGCCUGAUGCAGCGACGCCGCGUGAGGGAUGACGGCCUUCGGGUUGUAAACCUCUUUCAGCAGGGACGAAGCGCAAGUGACGGUACCUGCAGAAGAAGCACCG